UACGGGGGGGGCAAGCGUUGUUCGGAAUUACUGGGCGUAAAGGGCUCGUAGGCGGCCAACUAAGUCAAACGUGAAAUCCCUCGGCUUAACCGGGGAACUGCGCUUGAUACUGGAUGGCUUGAGAUUGGGAGAGGGAUGCGGAAUUCCAGGUGUAGCGGUGAAAUGCGUAGAUAUCUGGAGGAACACCGGUGGCGAAGGCGGCAUCCUAGACCAACACUGACGCUGAGGAGCGAAAGCCAGGGGAGCAAACGGG
rnacentral:rRNA from 1 species